rnacentral:rRNA from 1 species
UACGAAGGGGGCUAGCGUUGCUCGGAAUCACUGGGCGUAAAGGGUGCGUAGGCGGUCUUUAAGUCAGGGUGAAAUCCUGGAGCUCAACUCCAGAACUGCCUUUGAUACUGAAGAUCUUGAGUUCGGGAGAGGUGAGUGGAACUGCGAGUGUAGAGGUGAAAUUCGUAGAUAUUCGCAAGAACACCAGUGGCGAAGGCGGCUCACUGGCCGAUACUGACGCUGAGGAGCGAAGCCAGGGAGCAAAGCGG